GCGGGGCAUCAGGGACAGGGGUGGGGCCACGUGGAGGAAAGGGCACUCACCUGGCUCACGUUGAGGACUGCCCUGAAUCAGCCAUCCGAUCAGGAAGCCACCUGCAGCAGGUGGAGAAGCUGAGAGAGAAGGCCGUUCAGAUCCUUGCAUUCUCAGCUGAGGCAGGACCGGGGGAAUGAGGCCUCUAGAUUGACCCUGGCAAUAGGGUCUCAGGGGCAGCACCAAGGCCGAGAGGAAAGACUGAAGUGGGAGGAGGAGGAGCAAAGACACAUAACGUUUUUCUCUAUCACCAAAAGAAAACCUUUAAGGGAGCAGAGAAAAUGGCAAGAAAGGAGUCUUGUCAGUGUUAAAGGC
rnacentral:lncRNA from 1 species